UCCGUCCGUUCAAGGAUGGACGGGCACGAUCGACGCGGGGGACCUGACCUAGAACCUCACCAAACCCCAGGAGACCCCUCCCUCGGCAGCGCCUCGCCGAGCACCACCGCCAUGGCCGCCGCCUCCUCCCCCCUCGCCGCCGGCGACAGCGCGCACCGGCGGCAGUGGCGGUACACGUGGGAGACCCUGGCGCACCUCCCCCUCCUGCGUCUCUACCUCUCCCACCCGGCCCUCUCCGCCGCGGCGCCCUCCGGUCUCCGCGCCGACCUCCGCCUCGACGCCGACCUCCUCCUCCUCUCCUUCUUCCUUACGUCGGACCCCGUCUCCCUCAGGGUCCCCGUGCCGAGGGUGCUCGUGGACCCCUCCGUCCCGCCCGAGUGCCGUGCCGCGGGGGACCACCUCGAGGUCCGCCUCACCCUCGUCCUCCCCGUCGACCACCCCGUCGUCGCCGCCGCCUUCCCCGGCGCCGGCCCUCCCGCGCCCCUCUCCCUCCGCGAUGAUUUGAAGUCUCUAUCUUCUGGGGAUGUCCAUUUGUACUGCAAAACAUGCUCAGCAAGAUUGACAAAACAGCCACUAAGGGACGUUGUGGAAAUGCCAUCUUUAAAUUGGGAGGAUGUGGCUGACAAUUGGUUUGGUGGAUGUUGCACAUCAUUCGGAGGGGCAAGUGAGAAGUUAAUAUCACACUAUAUCAAUGCAUAUGGUCGCCUGCAGAGAACAACUCUACUAGAUGCUACCUCCAUUAUUAUAGAGAAGGAUUAUCUUGAGACAGAUAUAGUGUCGAGAGUAGAUAUUUCAGUGCCCAGUGUUGAUUUUGUUGCACUAGAAGAAGCUAUGUUUAAUGUUACUCUACAAAGCGAUCAUACUGCUGAGAAGAUAAAAUUGAAUAAUUCAGAAGAGGAGGUAUGCCAUGAAAAGAAAAUUGGUUCUAAUCACUUGCGACCUCCAGUUCUUUUGGAAGAGGGUCCUUGUAUUGAUAAUACUGAAAAAAAUGGAGGCACUCCUUGGACUGAUCAGUGUGGUACUAUCCAGCUGAAUAAUGGUGGCGAUGUGAACUCUGAGAAGUCUACAAGUGACUGUUUUAUUGAAAACAUGGAGCAAACUUCUCAAGAGGCUGAUUCGAAUCUGGUAGAUCCAUGCAGUUGCUGCGGUGACAGUGGAGAUAGUGGAAAAGCUGGAUUGGAGAACCAAAGAGAUUACAAGUUAACAAAAAGUAUCUCCCUUGGAAGUAGCUUUAUCAUUAAAGAAUCAAACCUUGUGAAAGAUGUUAACUGGGUUGAGCUUCUAUGUUCUCAUUGCUCGUCAUCUCUUGGGUCAUACCCAUCGCAAUAUUCAGAUGCUCCAUCAGAUGGACGGGUACGGCUGUUCAAAUGUUACACAUCCUCAGACCUUCCUGUUGGGGGUCCUCAUGAUGUGUUCAGGGGACACACAUUGGAAAAACUAUUUGUUAAUUUGUUGCUUGAAAUAGCUGAAGAUGAAAUAUCUUUUCGUACAGUAGUGAGAGAUUUGAAAACCAAAAGGCCCAUGCUGCAAAUAGUCCUUCUUAGUUCAAAAGCAUGGAUGUUUUCUGGUUACUGCUGUGAAAAUGAAAUGGAUGGUUCACAUGUGACAGCACAUCUGCAGCCUACUGUUAAGCUCCUGUAUUCUAACUGCAGUAGUGCGUCAGAAACAGACUUAAGGACAGUAGAGGAGUGGUCAUCCAAAUAUCGGGCUGAACAGUUAUACAUGAUGGUCGGGCAGAUAAAUGAACUUACUGAAUGCCUUAGCUCAGCUAAGGAUGAGUUCCCUCUUUCUUGCUCGUCUCUUGAAGGAAUGUGUCUUUCGUCUCUGGAGCGUUGAUUCGAUUUUAAGAUGCUAAUACUUUACUCAUGAUGCCCCAAGCCGCUGACUGAUCAUUGUAUCAUGCAUCUCUGGUGGAGACCCUAAUCAUAUAUACCAAGCACUGUUCCUGCCUAUCUCAGUUUAGUAGUCGUUUGGCGAGCUGGUUAUCCCAUCUGUACACUGCGAGAUUUCUGGACUCCCUCCUGUUGGCACAAGGCUGAGUGACAGACGGAGUUCUUAUUCAACAUGCUUUUGCUGAUAGAGGUUUCAGCCUUCUCGUCAUCUACUCUAAGAAGUAUUUGGCACAUUGUUGUAGCUAUACAGCGUUAAUGGUCAACCCACUAACCUGCAUGUAUUCUGUAUUCUGGUCAAAGCAGGAGAAGCGGUAAGGAACUUGCCUUUGAGCAAUGUGGUGGCCCAGGCAUAGAGGGAUCCAAGGGAGAAAAGGAUAGCAGUAUAGCACUGGCCAGUGGCCAAAGUCCCAGUGGAGCCGUUGCACUAGUAUCUGAAUUUUAUAUUGGCUGGACAUGUUAUCCAUCCAUCUAUUUGCUCUGAUCAUCAAACUGUGGCUGCAUCCAUGCAGCAGCAUCUGAGACCAGGUAUUUAAUGGAAUAGAACAUUCUACCAUAUAUAGGUGAAGUGAAGCUAGCCUACGCUACGCUACACGAGGGCUGUUGUUGAUCUGAUCUUCAAGGUUAGUGUUGAGUAUAAAAGAAAGAAGUCGGUAAGCUUAUAUGAGCAUCCAUAUGUUUGUUGUGUUGACUUCUGCAUUCUUUUUGGUGGCUUUUUGAGCGUCUGGGAUCUGGUGUAUCAUUUUAGUUAGUUGGUAAAAACUCGAUACAAUCGAGGGAUGCAUGCAUCCUCCUGUAGUAUGAAGAACCUGUUAUAAAUUAAUGGUGGGGAAACAUAUGCUUGUAUUUAUUGUUUGAAAAAGCCAGCAUGAAUCAUUGCUCUUUUUCUCGAAUUAAUAAUUUUUUCCAGGUACAAAAGGAGUAGGUCACUCUUUUUUGUACGACAUGCAAAAGAAUCAGCAACUUGAUCUUGUUUAAAUUAAUUAGUACUUGAAAUUGGGAUCCUACCAAAACAUUAUUUCCCCCCUGGAAGCUCGAGAAAGCAAAACACUUUAGAGAAAAACCUACUGAGUAUAUUAUUAUCAACUAAAGUGACGCAGGUUUUCUGGGAUUUAAUUGAUCUUCUGUUUGGAACUGAGUGUUUCAAAUUUUGGCGGGCUUAGAGGUUGGCCUGGCCGGUGUGUUAAAAGUAGGGAUAGCCAUGUGUAUAAAAAUGCUAGUGUUUUUAUUGGACGUGCUAGCGUCGGGAGGGCGGCCGUUGCGGGAAAUCGGCCGCCUCCUGCCCCCAGUCUUACUUAAACGAUGCUUCUAGAGCGUCCAAUCACAGUAACAAAAGCAAAUAAUCCAAGUGCAACAUUUUUUUGUGGGUAUAUGACUUUCUCACGAUCUGCCAGAGAAUGUGAAAAAAAUGGUGCAAUGUUUUCA